CAAUAGCGUAUAUUAAAGUUGUUGCAGUUAAAAAGCUCGUAGUUGGACCUUGGACCUGGACAGGCGGUCCGCCUCACGGCGUGUACUGUCUUGCUGGGUCUUUCCUCUUGGUGAUCUGUUGUUUCGGCAGCAGGGAACCAGGACUUUUACUUUGAAAAAAUUAGAGUGUUCAAAGCAGGCUCGACGCCGGAAUAUAUUAGCAUGGAAUAAUAAAAUAGGACGUGCGGUUCUAUUUUGUUGGUUUUUGGAAUCGCCGUAAUGAUUAAUAGGGACAGUCGGGGGCAUUAGUACUCACAUGCUAGAGGUGAAAUUCUUGGAUUUUGUGAAGACUAACUUCUGCGAAAGCAUUUGCCAAGGAUGUUUUCAUUAAU
rnacentral:rRNA from 1 species